ACGUUAAUAAUAAUCCGAACAAAGGAAACAAAAUACCAAAAUACAAUAGCAAGUAAUAGUAACGUACAGUAAACACACAUCAUCUAUGAGUAACCCUGUUGUCCCCCCCAACCCCGGGAGGAGCGAACAAAAAACUCUAGGGGCACCUAUCCUACAACCCUGAUUCUAGACCUCCAGACUUUCCUAUCGAGUGUCAUGUC
rnacentral:lncRNA from 1 species